GCCUAGCUGGCUUAGUCGGUAAAGCAUGUGACUCUUGAUCUCAAGGUUGUGAGUUCAAGCCUCAUGUUGGGUA
rnacentral:tRNA from 1 species